UGAGUAACCUGCCCUUAACUCUGGGAUAAGCCUGGGAAACUGGGUCUAAUACCGGAUAUGACUCCUCAUCGCAUGGUGGGGGGUGGAAAGCUUUAUUGUGGUUUUGGACGGACUCGCGGCCUAUCAGCUUGUUGGUGAGGUAAUGGCUCACCAAGGCGACGACGGAUAGCCGGCCUGAGAGGGUGACCGGCCACACUGGGACUGAGACACGGCCCAGACUCCUACGGGAGCAG
rnacentral:rRNA from 1 species